rnacentral:rRNA from 1 species
UACGUAGGGUGCAAGCGUUAAUCGGAAUACUGGGCGUAAAGCGUGCGCAGGCGGUUUGUAAGUCUGUCGUGAAAGCCCCGGGCUCAACCUGGGAAUUGCGAUGGAGACUGCAAGGCUUGAAUCUGGCAGAGGGGGGUAGAAUUCCACGUGUAGCAGUGAAAUGCGUAGAGAUGUGGAGGAACACCGAUGGCGAAGGCAGCCCCCUGGGUCAAGAUUGACGCUCAUGCACGAAAGCGUGGGGAGCAAACAGG